UAUACCAAACCGAAGGGUCAACUGCCAGAUUAUAAUUCUCCGGUAGUAUUAAACAGAGAGAAACGGACGGUUGAAGAUUUUUGUAAUAAAUUGCACCGAUCUAUCGCAAAAGAGUUUAAGUAUGCCCUUGUGUGGGGUUCGUCUGUCAAACAUCAACCACAAAAAGUCGGAAAAGAUCACAUAUUAUGUGACGAGGAUGUCGUACAGAUUGUAAAAAAAGUAUAAUUUUUAUCAAAUAUUCCGCGUACCGUUACUAUUAAUUAGAUUUGAAUUGAUUUUUAUAGACCGUCUUCUGUAAUUAAAAGUGUCGUAAUUUUGGAGUUUAUUUUGUUUUUGUUCGUACAAAAUUAUGGAAUAUUUUGGUCAGAAUAGUGUAAUAUGAGAUGCGUUAAAGACAUACACAAGGAAAAGAUAUACAGAUAGAUAUAUUAUACAUAUGUAUAUUGUACGAAUAAUAGUAGAAGUGGCUGAAAAUGAAGUUUUUAUCGAAUAAGUGCGUAAAUUAUUAAUAGGUACAUAAAUCAUUUAA
rnacentral:lncRNA from 1 species